AUGAACGCUGGCGGCGUGCCUAAUACACGCAAGUCGAGCGAACGGACGAGAAGCUUGCUUCUCUGAUGUUAGCGGCGGACGGGUGAGUAACACGUGGAUAACCUGCCUAUAAGACUGGGAUAACUUCGGGAAACCGGAGCUAAUACCGGAUAAUAUUUUGAACCGCAUGGUUCAAAAGUGAAAGACGGUCUUGCUGUCACUUAUAGAUGGAUCCGCGCUGCAUUAGCUAGUUGGUAAGGUAACGGCUUACCAAGGCAACGAUGCAUAGCCGACCUGAGAGGGUGAUCGGCCACACUGGAACUGAGACACGGUCCAGACUCCUACGGGAGGCAGCAGUAGGGAAUCUUCCGCAAUGGGCGAAAGCCUGACGGAGCAACGCCGCGUGAGUGAUGAAGGUCUUCGGAUCGUAAAACUCUGUUAUUAGGGAAGAACAUAUGUGUAAGUAACUGUGCACAUCUUGACGGUACCUAAUCAGAAAGCCACGGCUAACUACGUG
rnacentral:rRNA from 1 species